AUGAAGAGAUUCUUCUGCGAGAAGCAAUUUCAGGGGCACCUAUUGCCAAAAAAACUAUUUGGCCCCUACCAAAGGAGGGGGGAUGGCAUGGUGACCUCGGUCGGGGGUGCUGACGAGGGGAAGGUCUGUGACUUUCCUAUGAGAGGGGGCGACGACAGCGGCCGGCGAGGGGAUCGAGGGCAGUCGGGCAAAGGCGCCCGGCCAGAGCUCGCGGGCGACGACAGAGUGGGCGGCGAGAGGGUGGAGGAGCAGCUAGCAGAGGGGCGACGAGAGGGGGAAGGAGCAUUACCUGCGGCGGCGGCGGUGGUGGCGCGCGGUGGCAGAGGAGAAGCCCUAACCGCAGCUACCGGCGAAACGGUGUCCGCGGCCUGGAAUAAAUCAGUGCAGUCAACCAGUGCAAUUUGCAAGAUUCGCAUCAAAUUGUCACAGACUGCAAAGGACCUCAAGAAUUGGCAAAGAGAUACAGUUGGAGUCCUCAAUACUCGGAUUGGCAUAGCAAAGGAGGUAAUCUGGAGGCUUGACGUGGCCAAGGAGGGGAGGUCCCUCUCCCCUGCAGAGCUGGAGCUAAGAUGCAGGCUUAAGCUUUCUUAUCUCGACCUCCUUUCCUUCCGGAAGGUUAAGUUGCGCCAGCACGCACGGCUCACGAGUAUCAGGCUGGGAGAUGUCAACUCUAAGUUUCUCCAUGCCAAGGUGAAUGGGCGCCGGCGGAAAAACUACAUCCAGACACUGCACUCGGACCACGGCGUUGCCAUCACGGCAGAAGAUAAGGAGCAAACCUUCGGGGAGGCUAGCGGACUGAUCACAAACUUGAGCAAGACCGAGGUCUUCCCGAUCAGAUGUGACGGCAUUGACCUUCAAGAUGUGCUAUCAGUCUUCCCUCCCAAGAUCGCCACCUUCCCAGGAUGCUACUUGGGGCUCCCCCUGCAUUAUCACCGCCUUAAAGGGGUUGAUCUACAACCCUUCAUCGAUAGGUUCGCAGGAAGACUACCAGGAUGGAAAGGAAAGCUUCUCAACAAGCCUAGCAGGAAGGGGACACUUAGAAAGAUCAACAAAAUCAUUCGGGCCUUCAUCUGGCAAAAAGAGGACCAAGCUCAGACUUUGGGAGGUCAGUCCCUUGUUAACUGGAAGACCGGCAGCCGUCCAAGGCAUCUGGGCGGUCUUGGGAUCAUGGACCUGGAGAGAUUUAGCUGUGCCCUGCGCCUCCGGUGGCCUUGGCUGCAAUGGACUGACCCAGAAAGGCCAUGGGUGGGAUCGGAGCUGCCGUGUGACGAAUCAGAUAUGAGCCUCUUUCGCGCAUGUACCUCGAUUACGCUGGGCAAUGGGCAGAAGGCGCUGUUCUGGCAUGACAACUGGACCAACGACGGUCCGCUCAAGCUUCUUGCUCCACAGCUCUACAAGAUUGCCUCAAGAAAGAACAGAUCAGCGCACAACGAGCUCAUGAACGAGAACUGGAUCAGAGCAGUGGCUAGACUGCAGACCAUUCAGCAGCAGGGUGAAUUCGUAUCUCUUUCGAAUCACAUUAGUCAAAUCACCCUCCUCCCUGACCAAGACAACACGGUCCACUGGAACUUAACCACCUCGGGGACAUACUCAGCCGCCUCUGCCUACGGCGCGCAGUUCCUUGGCUCCUACUCUCGUUUCGACACAACCAAGGUCUGGUCUGCAAACGAUGAGCCCAAGUGUAAGUUCUUUGCUUGGCUUGCUCUACACGGAAGAAUCCUCACUGCGGAUAUGCUGGCUGUGAGGGGAUGGCCUUAUGAGCCCAGAUGCCUGCUCUGUCUCCAGCAGCCUAAAACAACAACUCACCUCUGCAAAGACUGCCCCUUCACGGUCGCGGCCUGGAACCAGGUGAACACCUGGACUAACGAAGGCGUUCCUAUCUCGGGCUUCCUCCCCGAGCCAGGAAACGUGUCAGACUGGUGGGACAAGACUCUCAUUUCACAGCCCAAUCAAGUGUGCAAGAGGUGCAGUGGAAGAAUCAUCUACACGAUAUGGUCCAUAUGGGAGGAGCGAAAUAGACGGGUGUUCACGGGACUAAGGUUGACGCAUCGCGAGGUGGCGGCUCUAGCCGUAGACGCAAUCAAUCAGCGCGAACUGACGUUUGCUGGCAGCCUGCCAACCGCUAGCAUUGGUUAA
rnacentral:rRNA from 1 species